GGGUUGUGAGGUUAAGCGACUAAGCGUACACGGUGGAUGCCCUGGCAGUCAGAGGCGAUGAAGGACGUGCUAAUCUGCGAUAAGCGUCGGUAAGGUGAUAUGAACCGUUAUAACCGGCGAUUUCCGAAUGGGGAAACCCAGUGUGUUUCGACACACUAUCAUUAACUGAAUCCAUAGGUUAAUGAGGCGAACCGGGGGAACUGAAACAUCUAAGUACCCCGAGGAAAAGAAAUCAACCGAGAUUCCCCCAGUAGCGGCGAGCGAACGGGGAGCAGCCCAGAGCCUGAAUCAGUGUGUGUGUUAGUGGAAGCGUCUGGAAAGGCGCGCGAUACAGGGUGACAGCCCCGUACACAAAAAUGCACAUGCUGUGAGCUCGAUGAGUAGGGCGGGACACGUGGUAUCCUGUCUGAAUAUGGGGGGACCAUCCUCCAAGGCUAAAUACUCCUGACUGACCGAUAGUGAACCAGUACCGUGAGGGAAAGGCGAAAAGAACCCCGGCGAGGGGAGUGAAAAAGAACCUGAAACCGUGUACGUACAAGCAGUGGGAGCACGCUUCGGCGUGUGACUGCGUACCUUUUGUAUAAUGGGUCAGCGACUUAUAUUCUGUAGCAAGGUUAACCGAAUAGGGGAGCCGAAGGGAAACCGAGUCUUAACUGGGCGUUAAGUUGCAGGGUAUAGACCCGAAACCCGGUGAUCUAGCCAUGGGCAGGUUGAAGGUUGGGUAACACUAACUGGAGGACCGAACCGACUAAUGUUGAAAAAUUAGCGGAUGACUUGUGGCUGGGGGUGAAAGGCCAAUCAAACCGGGAGAUAGCUGGUUCUCCCCGAAAGCUAUUUAGGUAGCGCCUCGUGAAUUCAUCUCCGGGGGUAGAGCACUGUUUCGGCAAGGGGGUCAUCCCGACUUACCAACCCGAUGCAAACUGCGAAUACCGGAGAAUGUUAUCACGGGAGACACACGGCGGGUGCUAACGUCCGUCGUGAAGAGGGAAACAACCCAGACCGCCAGCUAAGGUCCCAAAGUCAUGGUUAAGUGGGAAACGAUGUGGGAAGGCCCAGACAGCCAGGAUGUUGGCUUAGAAGCAGCCAUCAUUUAAAGAAAGCGUAAUAGCUCACUGGUCGAGUCGGCCUGCGCGGAAGAUGUAACGGGGCUAAACCAUGCACCGAAGCUGCGGCAGCGACGCUGAUGCGUUGUUGGGUAGGGGAGCGUUCUGUAAGCCUGCGAAGGUGUGCUGUGAGGCAUGCUGGAGGUAUCAGAAGUGCGAAUGCUGA
rnacentral:rRNA from 1 species